AAUAGAUACCCAGGUAGUCCACGCCGUAAACGAUGAGUGCUAAGUGUUAGAGGGUCUCCGCCCGUUUAGUGCUGAAGUUAACGCAUUAAGCACUCCGCCUGGGGAGUACGGCCGCAAGGCUGAAACUCAAAGGAAUUGACGGGGGUCCCGCACAAGCGGUGGAGCAUGUGGUUUAAUUCGAAGCAACGCGAAGAACCUUACCAGGUCUUGACAUCCUCUGACAACCCUAGAGAUAGGGCUUCUUCUUCGGGAGCAGAGUGACAGGUGGUGCAUGGUUGUCGUCAGCUCGUGUCGUGAGAUGUUGGGUUAAGUCCCGCAACGAGCGCAACCCUUGAUCUUAGUUGCCAUCAUUAAGUUGGGCACUCUAAGGUGACUGCCGGUGACAAACCGGAGGAAGGUGGGGAUGACGUCAAAUCAUCAUGCCCCUUAUGACCUGGGCUACACACGUGCUACAAUGGACGGUACAAAGAGCUGCAAGACCGCGAGGUGGAGCUAAUCUCAUAAAACCGUUCUCAGUUCGGAUUGUAGG
rnacentral:rRNA from 1 species